GCGGGUGUAGCUCAGUUGGCUAGAGCGUCUCCUUCCCAAGGAGAAGGUCGCGAGUUCGAGUCUCGUCUCCCGCUCCA
rnacentral:tRNA from 1 species